CAGUCGCCGCGGGAAGACGGAGGGUCCGAGCGUUAAUCGGAAUUACUGGGCGUAAAGCGUGCGCAGGCGGUUUGUUAAGCGAGAUGUGAAAGCCCUGGGCUCAACCUAGGAAUAGCAUUUCGAACUGGCGAACUAGAGUUUUGUAGAGGGGGGUAGAAUUCCAGGUGUAGCGGUGAAAUGCGUAGAGAUCUGGAGGAAUACCGGUGGCGAAGGCGGCCCCCUGGACAAAGACUGACGCUCAUGCACGAAAGCGUGGGGAGCAAACAGGAUUAGAUACCCGUGUAGUCCCUGUCUCUUAUAC
rnacentral:rRNA from 1 species